rnacentral:rRNA from 1 species
UAAAAGUCAUAACAAGGUUNCCGUAGGUGAACCUGCAGAAGGAUCAUUA